GGGGGUGGGGAAGCCCUCAUUCUGGAUAACUUUUGGAAGACUUAUCUAGUACCACUAUCCGAAUUUCUGUGUCCUACUUGAAACCCACCUAUCAGGGAUGAGUCUUGCCCGGACUAGGAGAUGGAUCUUGUCGGUGUGGAGCACCUAUGCUGUGGAGUCUAAGGGUAUGUCCGGAGGGAUCAUGAUUCUAUGGUGUCGC
rnacentral:lncRNA from 1 species